GGUUAAGCGACUAAGCGUACACGGUGGAUGCCCUGGCAGUCAGAGGCGAUGAAGGACGUGCUAAUCUGCGAAAAGCGUCGGUAAGGUGAUAUGAACCGUUAUAACCGGCGAUGUCCGAAUGGGGAAACCCAGUGUGAUUCGUCACACUAUCGUUAACUGAAUACAUAGGUUAACGAGGCGAACCGGGGGAACUGAAACAUCUAAGUACCCCGAGGAAAAGAAAUCAACCGAGAUUCCCCCAGUAGCGGCGAGCGAACGGGGAGCAGCCCAGAGUCUGAAUCAGCUUGUGUGUUAGUGGAACGGUCUGGAAAGUCCGACGGUACAGGGUGAUAGUCCCGUACACCAAAAUGCACAGGUUGUGAACUCGAAGAGUAGGGCGGGACACGUGGUAUCCUGUCUGAAUAUGGGGGGACCAUCCUCCAAGGCUAAAUACUCCUGACUGACCGAUAGUGAACCAGUACCGUGAGGGAAAGGCGAAAAGAACCCCGGCGAGGGGAGUGAAAAAGAACCUGAAACCGUGUACGUACAAGCAGUGGGAGCACCUUCGGGUGUGACUGCGUACCUUUUGUAUAAUGGGUCAGCGACUUAUAUUCUGUAGCAAGGUUAACCGUAUAGGGGAGCCGCAGGGAAACCGAGUCUUAACUGGGCGUUAAGUUGCAGGGUAUAGACCCGAAACCCGGUGAUCUAGCCAUGGGCAGGUUGAAGGUUGGGUAACACUAACUGGAGGACCGAACCGACUAAUGUUGAAAAAUUAGCGGAUGACUUGUGGCUGGGGGUGAAAGGCCAAUCAAACCGGGAGAUAGCUGGUUCUCCCCGAAAGCUAUUUAGGUAGCGCCUCGUGAAUUCAUCUUCGGGGGUAGAGCACUGUUUCGGCUAGGGGGUCAUCCCGACUUACCAACCCGAUGCAAACUACGAAUACCGAAGAAUGUUAUCACGGGAGACACACGGCGGGUGCUAACGUCCGUCGUGAAGAGGGAAACAACCCAGACCGCCAGCUAAGGUCCCAAAGUCAUGGUUAAGUGGGAAACGAUGUGGGAAGGCACAGACAGCCAGGAUGUUGGCUUAGAAGCAGCCAUCAUUUAAAGAAAGCGUAAUAGCUCACUGGUCGAGUCGGCCUGCGCGGAAGAUGUAACGGGGCUAAACCAUGCACCGAAGCUGCGGCAGCGACACUAUGUGUUGUUGGGUAGGGGAGCG
rnacentral:rRNA from 1 species